GUGUGUCGCGCGCGCGCCUCUCUCUCUCUCUCUCGCGCGCGCGCACCUGUGGAGAGAGGCGGUUGAGGAGAAGCAAAAGUGAAAAAGGGGUUUCUUUUCUUUUCCUUUUAUUAUUAUUUUUUUGAGGCAAAUCCUUCCGUGUAUAAGCAAUACAUUAAGCCUCGUGGGCCCUCCGUGUAUGUAUAAGCAUCAAGCAAGGAGGAGAAGGUAUUUUCCCUUCACCGCAGAGGGCCGGGCGAGGCGUGACGUCCCGCUGUGCGUGGAGGCCGUAAACGUCCGUGUUUAUUGUUAGUUUCCUGGUUGCUAUUUGGAGCCGCGGAGCGUUUUUCCUUCUCGAAGGCUUCUUUGAAGAGAGAGAGAGGAGGAGAGAGGGAGAGAGACUGACUUCCUCGUCCUCUCUCCUGGGUGAACUGCACUGUGAAGAAGUGCAGUGAUGUCAGGAAAUGAGGUCAAGCAAAUGUAGACAAGGAGCGUAUUGUUUGACUAGCAAAGAAGAAAUGAUGACAUCCCACAUCCCAAAAACCCCCCACUAGACUACAAGAAUACACCGCUAUGCUUCUUUUUGCUGUACCAUCUGAAGAGAUUAUAAUUAUUAUCAUGGUGGAGGAGAUUUUUCUAAGGCUUUCCCUUAGGAAGGAGGAAAGAAGAACAAAGUCAAAGAACAGAAGAGGAAGAAGUGGAAAAUUAGGAGAAAGAGGAAGGAGGAAGAGGAGAAGGCAGAAAGAUCUGGUUUUGAUACUUGGGGACAUGCUGUUACCCGCACGACUAUAUUGACAAUUGUAUAGCAUUGUGAGAAAAAUAGUAAUGCAUGUGUGAUAUUUUCCUUCUGUUUCAUUUCUAUCCCUCCCUUUUGGUAAUGUAAUAGUCCUUGGCUGAAAGUUAGACCUAGCAGAGCAAGGUGAGGAUAUGCGCAUCUGUGAAAAGCACAGCCUGCUUCCCUGUCCUCAAGUCACCUCAUUGCUGCUGGGCAUUGCAGGAGACUCGGAGCUGAAGUCAAAACCUGAACAGCUGCCAGGUACAGCAUGUCAUUUUAAACAUGAGGAAAAUAUGGCAAAAUAAUACAAGCCUGUUCCUGCAGAGUUUUCUCACACAAUGCUUCUUCUGAACUUGGUGGGAGUUUUUUGUGUGUGAGGUAAAAUCUUCAAAAUAGGGUUUGGCUAGACUAAUUCAUAACCUGUGCCAUCCAGAGAAUGCCAAAGACAUGUGUCUUCACUUCCAGGAUGAAAGUCUUCUGUUUUGCUUUUGUAGCCUUAAGAACAUCAAGAGGUUUGCUAGGGUUUUUUUUUGGUUAAUUCUUUGAAUGUUGCUUAAUUUCUUUUAAAUAAAUAUCUCCUGUGCAACCGAAAUCAAGAAAAAAUCCAACUGAAAGGAAGAGGAAACACAUUCAAAGCAAGACAUUUCAUUCCAAGUAAACAGUGUUUUUAUAAGCAAGACAGAUUACCUUUGGGCUUCUCUUCUGCUAAUGAGGUGUGAUUAUUGUUAGCACAAAGAAGAGUCCAUGAUGCAAUGGUCAGUGUAGGCUUGUAUUCAUAUUACAAGGAAGCAACAAAAAUUCCUUUAAGUCUCAUAGAAGGAAAAUAGACUUCAACAAUACAAGCCUUUUCAUGUUUACGUAGAGCUACGUCCCAUUGUAUUUCAAGGAAGCAUGUGCAUGACAGCCUUAGAAGAACACAGUACAAUGUAAUAAAGUUUCAGUAUCCAAAAAA